AUGAACGCUAGCGACAGGCCUAACACAUGCAAGUCGAGGGGCAGCACAAGGAGCAAUCUGAGGUGGCGACCGGCGCACGGGUGAGUAACACGUAUGCAACCUGCCUGUAAGCGGGGAAUAACCCGUUGAAAGACGGACUAACACCGCAUAAUACUAAAUUACUGCAUGGUAAUUUAUUUAAACAUUUAUGGCUUACAGAUGGGCAUGCGCAUGAUUAGCUAGUUGGAGAGGUAACGGCUCCCCAAGGCAACGAUCAUUAGGGGUUCUGAGAGGAAGGUCCCCCACACUGGUACUGAGACACGGACCAGACUCCUACGGGAGGCAGCAGUGAGGAAUAUUGGUCAAUGGACGAGAGUCUGAACCAGCCAAGUCGCGUGCAGGAAGAAUGUCCUAUGGACUGUAAACUGCUUUUGCAGGGGAAUAAAGUGCAUCACGUGUGAUGUUUUGUAUGUACUCUGCGAAUAAGGAUCGGCUAACUCCGUGCCAGCAGCAGC
rnacentral:rRNA from 1 species